GGGGUUGUGGCCUAGUGGUUAGAGCGUCGGACUUACGGCUUGAAGGUCGGGGGGUUCGAUUCCCGACCCCA
rnacentral:tRNA from 1 species